UGAGAAUGAAGUUUAUUUAACUCAACGAAAAAGCUAAAUUGACUAAUGAACAGUGAAAACAAGAAAUUAACAACGUAAUCAAAGAGAAAACCGCAGAAUAAUUGCCAUGAAAUAAAAAAUACGGCACAAUAACUAAAUUAAUAAAAAAUGACUAAUUACUAAUGUUAACUAGAUAAGAAUAAUCAAAGAAAACAAUUAGGAAUAAGAAAAACACAAAGACGCUCAAAUUGUGAAAGUAAAAAAUUUGACUCCACGAUCUGCUUUCGUGGCCAUGAUUGGUGCCGGCUUAGAGCCAUCAACUACACGAUCUGCAAUGGGGCCACGAUUCGUGCUGAGUAGGGGACGUUCAUGAACACGAUUUGAUUUCGGGUCCACGUUUUUUGAGUGAAAUUCCGCUUCAGCAAUUUUCAGCUUCUGCCUGAUUCCACGAACAAGUUCGGCUCCACGAAGUAGUCCACAGUUCUAAAAUUUCUGCAAUUAUUUUCAUUUCGGUUUUGGUUCUCAAACCCGAUCAAAUCGCUUUCAAAUGUUCCCAAACUUCAUAUUUCACUUGGGAAUCAUUUUAGGAUCAAACUACAAUGGAUUUUAACAUCAAAUUCAUGAAUCACAUAAAUUUAAAUGGAUCAAUUUGUACUUUUUUUUAUGAAUCCACUUAUGAACAUGAUGAAUUUGAAGAACAAGAAACUUUUGAUUUCACUUGUAGUCACUAAAACGACUUCAAACAUACUUCAUUUGAUGUAUUUUCACACAGAGAACAAACCCAAUUAGUUGCAAACAUCAGUAUGCAUCAAGAUCCAAGAAAUCAAAGAUUCAACUCAAGAACAUGAAGAACAACUUUUGGGGGGAUUUUCAAAUAAAAUCAAAUACUUAGCUAGUGUAUAUAGAAACCAACACCAAUCCAAGCUCCGAUACCAAAUGAUACGAAUGCGAAAGCAAAAUAAUAAUAAUAACACAAAUAAAAGGUAAAAAGAUAGAAUUAGUAGAGAAUCAACGAAGGAAAUUGAAAGAACAUUUGAAAUAAAUAAAUACCAAAUCAAUAUUAGACUUAAUUGACCCAAAACUAUAUGAGCAACCCUCAAAGGUAAGUAAUCCCCUUGCAAGUUCAUCUUAACAAGUUAUCAACCAACUUAGGAAUUCAUCUUCAACAUUCUCAAUGAGUUUUCAUUCACAAUAUCAAAAUAAGUUAAGUCUAAAAUGAGAUCCUUAAGGCUAUUUAUACUAGAGAG
rnacentral:lncRNA from 1 species